GAGUAGAUCUAAUUAAUCCCAAACAUCUUCUGAGGUUAGAAUUGCAGCAAGUUGACAAUUUCUGUAAGGCGGAUUUCGAAAUAUUGGAAAAAGAUGAUGCGGCGUAUUCCAUUUUAGCGCGUGCAAAGGCUUUGUAGAGUUGCAAAGCUUUAGUUGGUGUUAUUCCAAAUUUGCAGCCACUCAGAAUGUUGAGAAAUCGACAUGUGUUGUUUGUUUUGUCCACUAUUUGUUUAAUAUGUUGUGUGCACGCAUUGUUGACGCUUACAUAUCUACCAAGAAUAACUUGAGUUUGGUCCCGUUUCUUAUGAUAACAUACAAGAAAAAAAUCAUCGGCAAACUGGAAAAGUUUACAAUUUUCAUCUAUUAUUGAGUGUAAUUGUGCAGUGUAUAGAUUAAAAAGUGUUGGGCUUAAGCCACUGCCUUGUGUUAAACCAUUGUUAGUGAUAACUUUUUGAUGGUCUAGUUUGAGAUAUCUUCGUUUUAAAAAUGAAAUAAUCCACUCUGUUACUUUAGCAUUAAUUUGAGUCGUAGAUAGUAUGUCUUUUAAGAUGUCCACAUCCACAGAAUCAUAUGCUUUUUCCACGUCGAUACAUGUAGCCAUUACUUGGUAUUUUUGUUUUCUAAGUAAAGCAAUUGUGUUGAUCAGAUCAUUAAUACAUUGUGCAGUAGAGUGGUGUUUUCGGAAACCAUAAGAUCUUGCGGGUAAUAAAUUAUUGUGAUUUAUUUUGUUUUCUACAUGUAUUUUUAAGAUGCCUUCCAUACUUUUUGCUAGUACUGAGAGUAAACAUAUUGGUCUAUAAUUGUAAA